GACGAACGCUGGCGGCGUGCUUAACGCAUGCAAGUCGAGCGGUAAGGCUCCUUCGGGAGUACACGAGCGGCGAACGGGUGAGUAACACGUGAGCAAUCUGCCCUUCACAUUGGGAUAACCCCGGGAAACCGGGGCUAAUACCGGAUACGACCACCGACGGCAUCGUCUGGUGGUGAAAGUUCCGGCGGUGGGGGAUGAGCUCGCGGCCUAUCAGCUUGUUGGUGAGGUAAUGGCCCACCAAGGCUUCGACGGGUAGCCGGCCUGAGAGGGUGACCGGCCACACUGGGACUGAGACACGGCCCAGACUCCUACGGGAGGCAGCAGUGGGGAAUAUUGGGACAAUGGGCGAAAGCCUGAUCCAGCAACGCCGCGUGAGGGAUGACGGCCUUCGGGUUGUAAACCUCUUUCAGCAGGGACGAAGCGCAAGUGACGGUACCUGCAGAAGAAGCACCGGCCAACUACGUG
rnacentral:rRNA from 1 species